AGUGGGAGAAGGUGAUUGACAGCUGUGUUUACCUAUCAGAGAGUAGGGCUCUCUACUUAAGGGCUGAUUGGUUGACGCCUUGUGUGUGUCAUGUCUGAUCCCUCCCCCCGUGUCUGUUGACGGUCGUUACAGUGUGUUGGUUCCGAUGUUGGUGCCAGUUAGCACUGUUAAAUGGCUUUUAAGAGUGCUAGCCUCUCAGGCUGACUCCCUGUAUGCCAGGGCACUGGUGGCUGCCAUGACAGCUGUAUGCCGGUGUCCGUAAGGUGUUGUGCCUGGUGUAAGAAGCGGAUUCUCCCUCUCGUUCCGGGCCGUGAUUAGUUCUGCCGCUUACCUCUUCGCGCUGUUUUAGCGCUGCUAAGUUUGCCUGCUGUGUGGAUGGGUUGCCAUUAUUAAAGGGUGCUGCUGGUGUCUGGUCAAUCUUUGUAAAAUCGCACCGUAGUGCUCCAAUUCAUAUACGUGUUGGGGACAUGAACAUUUCUGUUUUAAAGAGUCAAUGAUGCUCUGUGAUUUCCCCUUUCCAACCCAUUUAAAUAUUUUGUUUCUUUUGUGAAUUUAUUUUUAUUUAUAAUUUGUUUGCUGCACGUGACUCCUCAUAUUUGUAAUGUGCCCUUGUGUGUGUGGUCUAGUGGCCCGAAUAAUACACUGUGACAGAGGGGAGUGGUAUGUGUAAUUAACCCUCCAAAUGUUUUAUGGUCUCUGCCGGUUGUGUAUCGUAUCAAUGGUCACUUUAAAGGAGUUGUGAGUGUGUAUGUAAGAAGUAGUAAACCAUCCAUUAAAUGUGUUUAUAAUUCGUUUUUUUUGUGUCUUUAACCUUUAUUUUUGUUCAUCGCAGGAGCUGGGGUCCCACGGGUGACAGGAAUUUCUACAGUGGUGGUGGUGCUUCUCAUCGUGUGCUGUGUAACAUCUUGUGUGUUUCGUAGUGUGGUUUGAGUGCACUUUGGUGUGUGUGUGUGGUUGUGUGGAAGUGUGCUCUGCUCAAACUGAACUCUGUCCUUUGCCGUUGGGAGCCUCAGCCCUGCUGGUAACAUCCUUUUUCUUUAUUUGUUUUGAUUCUACUUUUGUUAUUAGUAUUGUGUCUUCCUUUUUCUUUUGAAGGAGUACUUGGUGUGUCUUAAUUGAGUGUUUUUAAAUAUUGUAUCAAUAAAAUUUUGUAACAUUUUUUAUGAUACCCACGUCUCCUGCCUACUUUAUUAUAAGGGACCGAACCUGUGUCCUUCACCCAUCAUUUUGGGGGUAAUUUGAGAUUUCCCCGGGUGCAAUUCCCGGGGUGGCGUAGUCGGAGUUCCUUAAAAUCUUAGGCUCAUGUUCUCUCUCUAGCACC